GAUGAACGCUGGCGGCGUGCCUAAUACAUGCAAGUCGAGCGAACGGACGAGAAGCUUGCUUCUCUGAUGUUAGCGGCGGACGGGUGAGUAACACGUGGAUAACCUACCUAUAAGACUGGGAUAACUUCGGGAAACCGGAGCUAAUACCGGAUAAUAUUUUGAACCGCAUGGUUCAAAAGUGAAAGACGGUCUUGCUGUCACUUAUAGAUGGAUCCGCGCUGCAUUAGCUAGUUGGUAAGGUAACGGCUUACCAAGGCAACGAUGCAUAGCCGACCUGAGAGGGUGAUCGGCCACACUGGAACUGAGACACGGUCCAGACUCCUACGGGAGGCAGCAGUAGGGAAUCUUCCGCAAUGGGCGAAAGCCUGACGGAGCCACGCCGCGUGAGUGAUGAAGGUCUUCGGAUCGUAAAACUCUGUUAUUAGGGAAGAACAUAUGUGUAAGUAACUGUGCACAUCUUGACGGUACCUAAUCAGAAAGCCCCGGCUAACUACGUG
rnacentral:rRNA from 1 species